CACGUAGUUAGACCGGGGCUUUCUGGUAAAGUACCGUCAUCCUAGCAUCAUUUCCUAUACUAGGUAUUCUUCCUUUACAACAGAGUUUUACAACCCAUAGGGCCUUCAUCACUCACGCGGCAUUGCUCGUUCAGGGUUUCCCCCAUUGACGAAUAUUCCUAACUGCUGUCUCUCGUAGGAGUCUGGGCCGUGUCUCAGUCCCAGUGUGUCCGAUCAGCCUCUCAGCUCGGAUAUGCAUCGUUGCCUUGGUAGGCCAUUACCCCACCAACUAGCUAAUACAACGCAAGCCCCAUCUCAAAGUGAAGCAAAUGCUCCUUUAAGUAUCUAGUUAUCUAAUUACGAUCAUCUGGUAUUAGCGUUCAUUUCUAAACGUUAUCCCAGUCUCUGAGGUAGGUUACCCACGUGUUACUCACCCGUCUCGCCACUAAGUAGACAACCCAAUUACCUAAUUUUGUAGACAAGCACUCCAUCUUC
rnacentral:rRNA from 1 species